rnacentral:rRNA from 1 species
AUUGAACGCUGGCGGCAUGCUUUACACAUGCAAGUCGAACGGUAACAGGCCGCAAGGUGCUGACGAGUGGCGAACGGGUGAGUAAUGCAUCGGAACGCGCCCAGACGUGGGGGAUAACUACUCGAAAGAGUAGCUAAUACCGCAUACGAUCUAUGGAUGAAAGCGGGGGACCGUAAGGCCUCGCGCGAUUGGAGCGGCCGAUGUCAGAUUAGGUAGUUGGUGGGGUAAAGGCUCACCAAGCCAACGAUCUGUAGCUGGUCUGAGAGGACGACCAGCCACACUGGGACUGAGACACGGCCCAGACUCCUACGGGAGGCAGCAGUGGGGAAUUUUGGACAAUGGGCGCAAGCCUGAUCCAGCAAUGCCGCGUGCAGGAAGAAGGCCUUCGGGUUGUAAACUGCUUUUGUACGGAACGAAACGGCUCUGGUUAAUACCCGGGGCUAAUGACGGUACCGUAAGAAUAAGCACCGGCUAACUACGUG